rnacentral:rRNA from 1 species
CUAGCAAUAGAUUGCUGGCGACCGGCGCACGGGUGAGUAACACGUAUCCAACCUGCCGAUAACUCGGGGAUAGCCUUUCGAAAGAAAGAUUAAUACCCGAUGGCAUAAUAGAACCGCAUGGUUUUUUUAUUAAAGAAUUUCGGUUAUCGAUGGGGAUGCGUUCCAUUAGGCAGUUGGUGAGGUAACGGCUCACCAAACCUUCGAUGGAUAGGGGUUCUGAGAGGAAGGUCCCCCACAUUGGAACUGAGACACGGUCCAAACUCCUACGGGAGGCAGCAGUGAGGAAUAUUGGUCAAUGGACGAGAGUCUGAACCAGCCAAGUAGCGUGAAGGAUGACUGCCCUAUGGGUUGUAAACUUCUUUUAUAUGGGAAUAAAGUUUUCCACGUGUGGAAUUUUGUAUGUACCAUAUGAAUAAGGAUCGGCUAACUCCGUGCCAGCAGCCGCGGUAAUACGGAGGAUCCGAGCGUUAUCCGGAUUUAUUGGGUUUAAAGGGAGCGUAGGUGGACAGUUAAGUCAGUUGUGAAAGUUUGCGGCUCAACCGUAAAAUUGCAGUUGAUACUGGCUGUCUUGAGUACAGUAGAGGUGGGCGGAAUUCGUGGUGUAGCGGUGAAAUGCUUAGAUAUCACGAAGAACUCCGAUUGCGAAGGCAGCUCACUGGACUGCAACUGACACUGAUGCUCGAAAGUGUGGGUAUCAAACAGGAUUAGAUACCCUGGUAGUCCACACAGUAAACGAUGAAUACUCGCUGUUUGCGAUAUACAGUAAGCGGCCAAGCGAAAGCAUUAAGUAUUC